rnacentral:rRNA from 1 species
AUUGAACGCUGGCGGCAGGCUUAACACAUGCAAGUCGAGCGGGGUGAUGGUGCUUGCACUAUCACUUAGCGGCGGACGGGUGAGUAAUGCUUAGGAAUCUGCCCAUUAGUGGGGGACAACAACUCGAAAGGGAUGCUAAUACCGCAUACGUCCUACGGGAGAAAGCAGGGGAUCACUUGUGACCUUGCGCUAAUAGAUGAGCCUAAGUCGGAUUAGCUAGUUGGUGGGGUAAAGGCCUACCAAGGCGACGAUCUGUAGCGGGUCUGAGAGGAUGAUCCGCCACACUGGGACUGAGACACGGCCCAGACUCCUACGGGAGGCAGCAGUGGGGAAUAUUGGACAAUGGGGGGAACCCUGAUCCAGCCAUGCCGCGUGUGUGAAGAAGGCCUUAUGGUUGUAAAGCACUUUAAGCGAGGAGGAGGCUCUUUUGGUUAAUACCCAAGAUGAGUGGACGUUACUCGCAGAAUAAGCACCGGCUAACUCUGUGCCAGCAGCCGCCGUAA